rnacentral:rRNA from 1 species
GACGAACGCUGGCGGCGUGCUUAACACAUGCAAGUCGAACGGUAAGGCCCUCCGGGGUACACGAGUGGCGAACGGGUGAGUAACACGUGGGUGAUCUGCCCUGCACUUCGGGAUAAGCCUGGGAAACUGGGUCUAAUACCGGAUAGGACCCUGGGAUGCAUGUCCUGGGGUGGAAAGCUUUUGCGGUGUGGGAUGGGCCCGCGGCCUAUCAGCUUGUUGGUGGGGUGAUGGCCUACCAAGGCGACGACGGGUAGCCGGCCUGAGAGGGUGACCGGCCACACUGGGACUGAGAUACGGCCCAUACUCCUACGGGAGGCAGCAGUGGGGAAUAUUGCACAAUGGGCGCAAGCCUGAUGCAGCGACGCCGCGUGGGGGAUGACGGCCUUCGGGUUGUAAACCUCUUUCAGUGCCGACGAAGCGCAAGUGACGGUAGGCACAGAAGAAGGACCGGCCAACUACGUGCCAGCAGCCGCGGUAA